GAUGAACGCUGGCGGCGUGCCUAAUACAUGCAAGUCGAGCGAACAGACGAGGAGCUUGCUCCUCUGACGUUAGCGGCGGACGGGUGAGUAACACGUGGAUAACCUACCUAUAAGACUGGGAUAACUUCGGGAAACCGGAGCUAAUACCGGGUAAUAUAUUUAACCGCAUGGUUCAAUAGUGAAAGACGGUUUUGCUGUCACUUAUAGAUGGAUCCGCGCCGCAUUAGCUAGUUGGUAAGGUAACGGCUUACCAAGGCAACGAUGCGUAGCCGACCUGAGAGGGUGAUCGGCCACACUGGAACUGAGACACGGUCCAGACUCCUACGGGAGGCAGCAGUAGGGAAUCUUCCGCAAUGGGCGAAAGCCUGACGGAGCAACGCCGCGUGAGUGAUGAAGGUCUUCGGAUCGUAAAACUCUGUUAUUAGGGAAGAACAAAUGUGUAAGUAACUAUGCACGUCUUGACGGUACCUAAUCAGAAAGCCACGGCUAACUACGUG
rnacentral:rRNA from 1 species